rnacentral:pre_miRNA from 1 species
UCUAGCAAUAUAUUUGCAGGUUUUAGGUCUAAGUGAAGGAUAUCGAUCUCUGUGAAUAUAUUGUAAACCUUCACAAAUUCCCUUGAUUAUUUCAUAGCGCUAUUUUAAAAGAAAUUAUUUGGCAUUUGGCAUUGUCCAACAUGCAUAUCUAUGACUUGAGAAGUUUAAAGAAAUACAGUCAUUGGAUAUUGUGUUUGACUUAGAAAGAAAGAUGGAAAAGUUAAACAAAAAGUUGCGAAGGCAGAUGAAUGCUUUGCUUAUGCAUAAUCCAUAUUGAUAAAGUGCUAUGGAAUGAUCAAGGAAUUUGUGAGGUUUACAUUAUCUUCGCAAGAGUUGUAUUGUUCACUUAGACCUAGACAUGCAAGUAUAUUUCUAGG